UCAGGAUGAACGCUGGCGGCGUGCCUAACACUUGCAAGUCGAACGGAACUUUUACGAGCAAGGCUUCGGCCAAGCAAGUUUCAAGUUUAGUGGCGGACGGGUGAGUAACGCGUGAGCAACCUGCCUUUCAGAGGGGGAUAACGUUUGGAAACGAACGCUAAUACCGCAUAACGUAUGGAUAUCGCAUGGUGACCAUACCAAAGAUUUUAUCGCUGAGAGAUGGGCUCGCGUCCGAUUAGGUAGUUGGUGGGGUAACGGCUCACCAAGCCGACGAUCGGUAGCCGGACUGAGAGGUUGAACGGCCACAUUGGGACUGAGACACGGCCCAGACUCCUACGGGAGGCAGCAGUGGGGAAUAUUGCACAAUGGGCGCAAGCCUGAUGCCAGCAACGCCGCGUGAGGGAAGACGGUUUUCGGAUUGUAAACUUCUUUUAUCAGGGACGAAGGAUGUGACGGUACCUGAUGAAUAAGCCACGGCUAACUACGUGCCAGCCGCUGC
rnacentral:rRNA from 1 species